GGUGGGUGUGGUGGCAUGUGCCUGUAGUCCCAGCUACUCAGGAGGCUGAGGUGGGAGGAUUGCUUGAGCCCAGGAGUUCUGGGCUGUAGUGUGCUAUGCUGAUUGGGUGUCUGCACUAAGUUCGGCAUCAAUGUGGUGACCUCCCAGGAGCGGAGGACAACCAGGUUGCCUAAGGAGGGGUGAACAGGCCCCAAUUGGAAACGGAGCAGGUCAAAACUCCUGUGCUGAUCAGUAGUGGGGUCACGCCUGUGAAUAGCCACUACACUCCAGGCUGGGCAACAUAGCAAGACCCCGUCUCU
rnacentral:SRP_RNA from 1 species